CUUGCUUGAAAAACAAAUGCACUUGGCAGUAAGAACUUAUCGCUCCUUUUGAGAAGGCAUACUUCAGACCAUAGGAAGGCAAUGAAGAUUCCCCUAUCUUCUUUUCUUACCUACUAUGUUGUUUGCUUCCUACCAACGGAUGGUAACGCAGCCUUAUCGUUCAAAGGCUGCUUAUCAUUGCCAACUGAAGAUGGCGAUUGCGGAAAUCACAUCGAAGAGUGGUAUUACGAUAAAAGAGAAGGAGAGUGUGUGAAUUUUAUGUAUGGAGAUUGUCCACAGAACAAAAACAUGUUUGCCAGCAAGCAGGAAUGUGAAGAUGCUUGCAAGGGCGCAGCAAAAGGACAUCAGGUGCCAGAGCCUGGUGGGUGGGGUACUACGGGAUCCAAAGGACAACCUAAACCGCCGAAACCGCCGAAACCGCCGAAACCUUCGCGUCCGAGCAAGCCAACAACCGGUGGCGGAAUGAAGCAUCCCGGAAAAGGAGGUAAUAAAAAAUUGCAAAAGCGAAAAUGCUUUUCCAAACCACGAAAAGGAAAGUGCGAUAGUGGAGACACCUUGUGGUAUUAUAACGCACCGUUUUAUCAGUGCGACAUAAUCCGCCAAGGAUUCUGUCCGGGGAAUGCACCGUUUUUUGAAAGCUGUGAAGAAUGCGCUGAAACAUGCAACAAGCGAAGCCUGAGGAGGUGCAACAUGGUGUGAAUCUCCACAUAUGAGAGAACAAAAAGAAGCUGCACUUUUGAUGCACCGUAAAAACUUCAUUUGAUUUAGAAGUACACGACAAUAAAUUAAACAAUGACGUGACGCUCACAACUAA